rnacentral:rRNA from 1 species
GACAGAGGGUGCAAACGUUGCUCGGAAUCACUGGGCGUAAAGGGCGUGUAGGCGGGAAGGAAAGUCGGGCGUGAAAGCCCUGGGCUCAACCCAGGAAGUGCACUCGAAACUGACAGGCUUGAAUAUGGAAGAGGGUCGCGGAAUUCCCGGUGUAGAGGUGAAAUUCGUAGAUAUCGGGGAGGAACACCAGUGGCGAAGGCGGCGACCUGGGCCAAUAUUGACGCUGAGGUGCGAAAGCGUGGGGAGCAAACAGG